rnacentral:rRNA from 1 species
UAGGUUUUUGGAUCGUAAACCCCUUUUGUCAAGGAAGAAGCUCUGACGGUACUUGACGAAUAAGCCUCGGCUAACUCCGUGCCAGCAGCCGCGGUAAUACGGAGGAGGCAAGCGUUAUCCGGAAUGAUUGGGCGUAAAGCGUCUGUAGGUGGCCAGCUAAGUCUGCUGUUAAAGAUCACAGCUCAACUGUGGGAAGGCAGUGGAAACUGGCAAGCUAGAGGUUGGUAGGGGUAAAGGGAAUUCCCGGUGUAGCGGUGAAAUGCGUAGAUAUCGGGAAGAACACCGGUGGCGAAAGCGCUUUACUGGGCCAGACCUGACACUGAAGGACGAAAGCUAGGGGAGCGAAAGGGAUUAGAUACCCCUGUAGUC